GCCAGGCGCGGUGGUGCGUGCCUGUAGUCCCAGCUACUUGGGAGGCUGAGGUGGGAGGAUCCCUUUAGCCCAGGAGUUCUGGGCUGUAGUGCGCUAUGCCGAUCAGGUGUCCGCACUAAGUUCGACAUCAAUAUGGUGACCUCCCAGGAGUGGGGGACCACCAGGUUGCCUAAGGAGGGGUGAACCGGCCCAGGUUGGAAACGGAGCAGGUCAAAACUCCUGUGCUGAUCAGUAGUGGGAUCACGCCUGUGAAUAGCCACUGCACUCCAGCCUGGGCAACACAGCGAGACCCCGUCUCU
rnacentral:SRP_RNA from 1 species